UACGUAGGGUGCGAGCGUUGUCCGGAAUUAUUGGGCGUAAAGAGCUCGUAGGUGGUUUGUCGCGUUGUUCGUGAAAACUCACAGCUUAACUGUGGGCGUGCGGGCGAUACGGGCAGACUGGAGUACUGCAGGGGAGACUGGAAUUCCUGGUGUAGCGGUGGAAUGCGCAGAUAUCAGGAGGAACACCGGUGGCGAAGGCGGGUCUCUGGGCCUUACCUGACGCUGAGGAGCGAAAGCGUGGGGAGCGAACAGG
rnacentral:rRNA from 1 species